CUGGGCUCAUAUACCUAUUAUCCAUGGAAUUGAGGGUCAUGUCAUGGUUUAGUUCAAACCAGUGACUUCAGGCCUCAAGUGGGGGUCACAGGCUAUACCCUCUGGGGGACCCAGAGUUCCCACUGUUCAAGGGGCUUAGGGAACACCUGAUACAGCUCAGAACAGAGUCCUGCUUUAUGACCUGUACAAGCCAUUUUCUCCAAUCUUUCUGUGUUGGUCCUCUUGCCUGUUCCCUAACUGUUGAUGUUUUCUGGAGGCUAGUCCAGAGACUGACAUCUGCCAUUUGAUACCUGACUAGGGUUUCUGCUAACCUGUGCUCCCCCACAAGUGAGUUUCUGCAAGCUCCUGGGGUGGCUGUCCUGGGACCCUCCAGGAGUUGAAGCUAGGAUGCUUAGUGGUCAGAAAGGUGGGGCCUUGUGUACUUUUGUCUAAGAAGGAAGGUUGAACUUUAGCCCCUGGGAGCCUCCAGGAAGUGGGAGGCAGGAGGUACUGAUGACCCUCAAGCACUUAGCAUGUAGGUAGCAUGCUCUGGGGAGUGAUAGAUUAUCAAACGGGAAACAUAAAAGACUGGGCAGUGCCAUCACCAACAGCUGCUUCAUAGAGCUUGCAGGCCCAAGUGGUGGGGAAGGUGCCCGCAAACUGCCUCAUCUGGACUGCCCCUGGAUGAUGAUAAGGGUGGCCCAUGAGCAGCUGAGCCAAUCUCAAAUGACCCCAGGGAUUAGAGGAGGACAUUGAGCAAAGAGUUGUGAGAAGGAGUAUAACAGGGUCAGCAUAGGCUGCACUGCAUGAAGUGAAGGAGAGGCAUGGAGCUGCUCAGCCCUGGAGGCCUCAGGGACAGGGGCAGGUCAGAGGCAGACAAGUGUGGGCCUGGUAGGUAGACCAUGGCAGAAGUCCUCUUGCCAUAGGCCUCACCAUGAGUCUGCCUAUACCUGAGCACCGGCCUCUGGUCCCCUAUGCUGGAGACCCCUGCGCCGGCUGAGUCCUAGAGAAAAAGACUCCUCACUGGGCACUCUUAAUGCUUGUAUACACUUUGUGGUUUAUUUGGUGGUCAGUAAUUAAUGUCUUUGCAACUAAGUGGAAGAAAGCUAAUAGAC
rnacentral:lncRNA from 1 species